AAAGGAAUUGACGGGGGCCCGCACAAGCGGCGGAGCAUGUGGCUUAAUUCGACGCAACGCGAAGAACCUUACCAAGGCUUGACAUCAUAUUGAAAAGUACAGAAAUGUACCUCCUUCGGGCAGUAUGACAGGUGGUGCAUGGCUGUCGUCAGCUCGUGUCGUGAGAUGUUGGGUUAAGUCCCGCAACGAGCGCAACCCUCGUCCCAUGUUGCCAGCACUUAGGGUGGGCACUCUUGGGAGACUGCCGGUGUAAAACUGGAGGAAGGUGGGGAUGACGUCAAGUCAUCAUGCCCUUUAUGUCUUGGGCUGCACACGUGCUACAAUGGUCGGUACAAAGAGGUGCGAUACUGUGAGGUGGAGCGAAUCUCAUAAAACCGAUCUAAGUCCGGAUUGAAGGCUGAAACUCGCCUUCAUGAAGUCGGAGUCGCUAGUAAUCGUGGAUCAGAACGCCACGGUGAAUACGUUCCCGGGCCUUGCACACACCGCCCGU
rnacentral:rRNA from 1 species